GAUGAACGCUGGCGGCGUGCCUAACACAUGCAAGUCGAGCGAUUCUCUUCGGAGAAGAGCGGCGGACGGGUGAGUAACGCGUGGGUAACCUGCCCUGUUCACACGGAUAACAUACCGAAAGGUAUGCUAAUACGAGAUAAUAUACUUUUAUCGCAUGGUAGAAGUAUCAAAGCUUUUGCGGUACAGGAUGGACCCGCGUCUGAUUAGCUAGUUGGUAAGGUAACGGCUUACCAAGGCGACGAUCAGUAGCCGACCUGAGAGGGUGGUCGGCCACAUUGGAACUGAGACACGGUCCAAACUCCUACGGGAGGCAGCAGUGGGGAAUAUUGCACAAUGGGCGAAAGCCUGAUGCAGCAACGCCGCGUGAGCGAUGAAGGCCUUCGGGUCGUAAAGCUCUGUCCUCAAGGAAGAUAAUGACGGUACUUGAGGAGGAAGCCCCGGCUAACUACGUGCCAGCCGCCGCCGUAACAC
rnacentral:rRNA from 1 species